AUGUGGUAAGCUAGAACAUUAAGCUACAACAGUAACAAUAAAACAACAGCAAGUAAAUCGGUGCUCAUUUUUCUAAAAAAGUAAAUCGGUGCUCAUUUUUCUAAAAAAAGUAAAUCGGUGCUUAUUUAGAAAGAAAAGAAUUGCAAUCGAUGCUAGCACGCAUGGCAAGCUGGAGCAGCUUCUUUUUUUAGGGUUGCUCGAGCAGCUUCUGGUCGGUGCAGCCAAUAAAGAAAUCAAUCCACACAAAAAAAAUCCCCACCAAGACCAUUACUGCGUGGACAUCGCCAUUCCUCCAGCAGCAUUGUUGCUCUUCUUUCUCUUUCUCUUUAUCCAUCCACAUCCAGACAUCCAGUGCGCCGACGAACCCACCCAUCAGCGGUGCUCUCCUUCCUCUCAUCUCUAUCCGUGCUCCAGCCACCCACCACCCACGCGCCCUUCUUGCUUCAGUCGACGGCGCCUCGUUCCCAUCUCCCUUUCCUCCUCCACAACUAACCAAGCACCGCCCUCUCCUUGACCAUGGCACCCGGAUCUCCCUAACCAAGCCCUUGAUCCUCCCUUCCCACCCGUGAUGAUCUGAUUUCCCAGGCCAUCUUGUCCGCGACUGACGGUUCACGUUCGUCGGCCGGUUGCAGCGCGGCUCCUAUUGGCCGAGCCUGCGCGCACGGGGGCUGACUGGGCCUAUGGCUGAGGCGCGGCAGCGGUGUCUUGCUCACCGUCGAGCUCGACAGCUACUUGAUGGGGCCGCGUGGAUCUGCCCCGAGGCUCCGGAUCUGCGUGGUCAUGUCCAGCACACCCUCCGAUGGCGCCUUACUGCGGCGCUUCAGGCCCAGAUCUCGCCGGUUGGUGCGUGGAUAUGCGUGCACUCAGCUUGAGGUAGCACAAGGAUGAUGGGGCGGCUUGGAUGGUGGCCCGUGCAGUGUGCAGCUGCCCUCAGAACGCAGGCGUCCCGCGACCUCGUGGCUCUUAGCGACGCCAAGCCACGGCUGGCAAUCUGCCAUCAUCUGGACGCAUGCCAUGGCGGUUGCGCCCUCAAGCUCCAGCACAAGUCCCGCCUUCCCGCGCCGCGUUGCAGCCCGCGUUCCUCUGCUCCGACCGCACACCUCGCGCCGCAGCGCGAGUUCCUCUGCUCCGACCACACCCGACACCCGCGUCGGCGACCCCUUCGGCCCUCGCCAUGCCGACAACCACCAAGAACCCCGCCACCUCCUCGCAUUCUCUUGCUGCUCGUCGCCAGGAGCGCCGCCACCCUCCUAGGAGCCCUGUCGCCGUUCCCCUGGGACCCUUGCUCGAUUACUUGGCUUCGAGGAGCCCCGUCGCCGUUCCCCUAGGACCCUCGCUCGAUUACUUGGCUUCUGUAGCAUGGACCCCGGCGACAAGCGGCGGUGAGUGGCCGGCGGUGGAGUCUGGGAAUGGAUAAGAGACCUUAUAAAAUAAGGAAUAUAAGGACUAUGGGCUGAAUUUCAACUACUACAGGGGCUAUUUUGCAAAAACAAAAUGUUUUCUUAGGAACACACUUUAUAUAGGACUGCGGGUUGCAUUCGAAUAAACUGAGGGACUUUUAUGCAAAAUCGCACACGACGACGUACGGGCAGAAACCCAAUUCUCUUUAUUAUUGGGUAAAGAUACAUAUUUCAAAACUAGACUCUUUUUUUCUAUCAAAUCGGUGAAUAUGUAUUAAUCUACUUUGAUCGUGUGGCAAUGCAUUGGCACAUUGCUAGUAGUUAUUACUACUGUAUAAUUUUUUGGACACCAGACAAACGGUGGAGUACAUAUAUGAAGAGAAGAGGUGCACGUACACAGUCGGUCUCUUGCUGUCUCGCACACAUGAGUUACGUAAAGGCGCUGUUAACAAAUAAACCGUAAAACCCUAGGUGCACGAUUGCUGCAUGCGCGGGUACUGGGUACGUGGUGGAGCGCACCUUUGUAGGAAUAAUCAGCUCGCAUGAUAAUUUGAUCCAUAGGAGUUGAUGGUCGGGACCACAAGUGAACGACCUGGAGGCGGUGGCUCGCCAGUUGCCACAGAUCGAGUAGCCAUGUUUUAAAUAUCAUUUUUAGCGGGGUAAGAGUUCCGAUUUUCAAUGGCGCAUUAUAAGUACUUAAGUAGUUUUUAGAACGAUUGGAUGGAGUAAAAAUGGAAUUCAUAAUUACUACCUCCUUGGCGUAUGGUUGUAUGGUUUUAUGUUGCAAGAUGUUGAACCUGGUAGUUCUAGGGCAAAUACUAUGGUUUAGAUGUUGCUUUUCAGUAAUGAAAAUCGGAAGGGGGAAACCCUUCUUCGAUGAAAAAACUACUACCACCGUCCUUUUUUACUAGUCCCCAUCGUAUUUUGGGUCAAAGUUUGUCCAUGAAUUUUACUUGUUAAAUGUGAAUGAAAAAUAGGAUUUUGUUAUACCCAAACAAAAAAGGACUGGAGGGAGUGAUUGCUCUGACAUGGACGCGACCUCUCAUAGCGCAGGCAUUGAACUGGCGCACUGGCCAAGAGAGCCCCACUCACUGCAGGCCCGGCUGAACACACCUCAUCGCCGCAUGCAACCGGCUUUAGACUGCCCUGCCUGCCUCCAUUGAAUCCGCCUGUGUGCCAGCAACACAUCCUUCCGCGAGCCGACUGGCAUUUUAAAAUACAAAAAAUGACGAAAAUAUAAUUAAUUACGCAUGGUCUUGACUUGUUGUGCUUGCACUGGUAGUAGGAGCAAGAUGUUCUUCUUUAUUUAUAACUCUCCUCACAUUUUUUUGGCUUUGAAGUGAAUCAUGGUUGCGGACAUUA